AGUAGGCGAACGGGUGAGUAACACGUGGGCAAUCUGCCCUUCACUCUGGGACAAGCCCUGGAAACGGGGUCUAAUACCGGAUACGACCACUUCAGGCAUCUGAUGGUGGUGGAAAGCUCCGGCGGUGAAGGAUGAGCCCGCGGCCUAUCAGCUUGUUGGUGGGGUAAUGGCCCACCAAGGCGACGACGGGUAGCCGGCCUGAGAGGGCGACCGGCCACACUGGGACUGAGACACGGCCCAGACUCCUACGGGAGGCAGCAGUGGGGAAUAUUGCACAAUGGGCGAAAGCCUGAUGCAGCGACGCCGCGUGAGGGAUGACGGCCUUCGGGUUGUAAACCUCUUUCAGCAGGGAAGAAGCGAAAGUGACGGUACCUGCAGAAGAAGCGCCGGCUAACUACGUGCCAGCAGCCGCGGUAAUACGUAGGGCGCAAGCGUUGUCCGGAAUUAUUGGGCGUAAAGAGCUCGUAGGCGGCUUGUCACGUCGGAUGUGAAAGCCCGGGGCUUAACCCCGGGUCUGCAUUCGAUACGGGCAGGCUAGAGUGUGGUAGGGGAGAUCGGAAUUCCUGGUGUAGCGGUGAAAUGCGCAGAUAUCAGGAGGAACACCGGUGGCGAAGGCGGAUCUCUGGGCCAUUACUGACGCUGAGGAGCGAAAGCGUGGGGAGCGAACAGGAUUAGAUACCCUGGUAGUCCACGCCGUAAACGUUGGGAACUAGGUGUUGGCGACAUUCCACGUCGUCGGUGCCGCAGCUAACGCAUUAAGUUCCCCGCCUGGGGGAGUACGGCCGCAAGGGCUAAAACUCAAGGAAUUGACGGGGGCCCGCACAAGCAGCGGAGCAUGUGGCUUAAUUUCGACGCAACGCGGAGAACCUUUACCAAGGCUUGACAUAUACCGGAAACGGCAGAGAUGGUCGCCCCCCCUUGUGGUCGGUAUACAGGUGGUGCAUGGCUGUCGUCAGCUCGUGUCGUGAGAUGUUGGGUUAAGUCCCGCAACGAGCGCAACCCUUGUUCUGUGUUGCCAGCAUGCCCUUCGGGGUGAUGGGGACUCACAGGAGACUGCCGGGGUCAACUCGGAGGAAGGUGGGGACGACGUCAAGUCAUCAUGCCCCUUAUGUCUUGGGCUGCACACGUGCUACAAUGGCCGGUACAAAGAGCUGCGAAGCCGUGAGGCGGAGCGAAUCUCAAAAAGCCGGUCUCAGUUCGGAUUGGGGUCUGCAACUCGACCCCAUGAAGUCGGAGUUGCUAGUAAUCGCAGAUCAGCAUUGCUGCGGUGAAUACGUUCCCGGGGCCCUUUGGUACC
rnacentral:rRNA from 1 species